rnacentral:rRNA from 1 species
AGAGUUGAUCCUGGCUCAGGAUGAACGCUAGCGGCAGGCUUAAUACAUGCAAGUCGUGGGGCAGCAGGGUGUAGCAAUACAUCUGCUGGCGACCGGCAAACGGGUGCGUAACACGUACGCAACCUUCCCGUUACUGUGGCAUAGCCCAGGGAAACUUGGAUUAAUACCACAUAUUAUAUUGAUGAGGCAUCUCAUUGAUAUCAAAGCUUCGGCGGUAACGGAUGGGCGUGCGGUUGAUUAGGUAGUUGGCGGGGUUAACGGCCCACCAAGCCUACAAUCAAUAGCUGAUGUGAGAGCAUGAUCAGCCACACGGGCACUGAGACACGGGCCCGACUCCUACGGGGGGCAGCAGUAAGGAAUAUUGGGCAAUGGACGAAAGUCUGACCCAGCCAUGCCGCGUGAAGGAUUAAGGUCCUCUGGAUUGUAAACUUCUUUUCUCUGGGGCGAAAACCAGCUAUUCUUAGCUAUUUGACAGUACCAGAAGAAUAAGCACCGGCUAACUCCGUGCCAGCAGCCGCGGUAAUACGGAGGGUGCAAGCGUUAUCCGGAUUCACUGGGUUUAAAGGGUGCGUAGG